AUUGAACGCUGGCGGCACGCUUUACACAUGCAAGUCGAACGGCAGCAUGGGUGCUUGCACCUGAUGGCGAGUGGCGAACGGGUGAGUAAUGUAUCGGAACAUGUCCGGAAGUGGGGGAUAACGUAGCGAAAGUUACGCUAAUACCGCAUAUGCCCGGAGGGGGAAAGGAGGGGAUCGCAAGACCUUUCGCUUUCGGAGUGGCCGAUAUCAGAUUAGCUUGUUGGGGAGGUAAAGGCUCACCAAGGCGACGAUCUGUAGCGGGUCUGAGAGGAUGAUCCGCCACACUGAGACUGAGACACGGCCCAGACUCCUACGGGAGGCAGCAGUGGGGAAUUUUGGACAAUGGGGGCAACCCUGAUCCAGCCACGCCGCGUGAGUGAAGAAGGCCUUCGGGUUGUAAAGCUCUUUCGGACAGAAAGAAAUCGCACUUACUAAUACUGAGUGUGGAUGACGGUACUGUAAGAAGAAGCACCGGCUAACUACGUGCCAGCAGCCGCCGUAACAC
rnacentral:rRNA from 1 species